UGGGGAAUUUUUCGCAAUGGGGGAAACCCUGACGAAGCAACGCCGCGUGGAGGAUGAAGGCCUUCGGGUCGUAAACUCCUGUCGACCGGGAAGAAAGCGCCUCGACCUAAUACGUCGAAGCGUUGACUGUACCGGUGGAGGAAGCCACGGCUAACUCUGUGCCAGCAGCCGCGGUAAUACAGAGGUGGCAAGCGUUGUUCGGAAUUACUGGGCGUAAAGGGCGCGUAGGCGGUUCGCCAAGUCCCGUGUGAAAGCCCCCGGCUCAACCGGGGAACGGCGCGGGAAACUAGCGGGCUUGAGUUCGGGAGAGGGAAGCGGAAUUCCGGGUGUAGCGGUGAAAUGCGCAGAUAGCCGGAGGAACACCGGUGGCGAAGGCGGCUUCCUGGACCGACACUGACGCUGAGGCGCGAAAGCUAGGGGGAGCAAACGGGAUUAGGAUACCCCCGGUAGUCCUAGCCCUAAACGAUGAGCACUGGGUGUAGAGGGUAUGAACCCCUUCUGUGCCGAAGCUAACGCAUUAAGUGCUCCGCCUGGGGAGUACGGUCG
rnacentral:rRNA from 1 species